rnacentral:ribozyme from 13 species
CAAAAGUAAAAGGAGAAGAGGACGAGAAAGAAGGUUCUUUGUUUUUUUUUUUGUUUGUUUUUUUUGUUU